GACGAACGCUGGCGGCGUGCUUAAUACAUGCAAGUCAACUGAACUUAAGAUAGCAAUAUUUUAAGGGAGGUGGCGCACGGGUGAGUAACACGUAGGUAAUCUGCCUUUAGGUCUGACACAACCCCGAGAAAUCGGGGCUAAUAUCAGAUGAUGCAGCGGCUCGACAUCGAGACAGUUGUUAAACCUUCGGGGCCUAAAGAUGAGCCUGCGUCUGAUUAGCUGGUUGGCGGGUAACGGCCCACCAAGGCAACGAUCAGUGGCUGGUCUGAGAGGAUGAUCAGCCACACUGGAACUGAGACACGGUCCAGACUCCUACGGGAGGCAGCAGUAAGGAAUAUUGCUCAAUGGCCGAAAGGCUGAAGCAGCAACGCCGCGUGGAGGAUGAAAUACUUUGUAUGUAAACUCCUGUGAGAAGGGAAAAAUAAUGCAGAUUUUCUGCGUUGAUUGUACCUUCAGAGGAAGCCCCGGCUAACUACGUGCCAGC
rnacentral:rRNA from 1 species